GGCCCCGUAGUCUAGUGGUCUAGGACAUCGCCCCUUCAAGGCGGUAACACGGGUUCGAAUCCCGUCGGGGCUA
rnacentral:tRNA from 2 species